rnacentral:rRNA from 1 species
CGCGUAGGCGGCCAUUUAAGUCGGGUGUGAAAUCCCGGGGCUUAACCCCGGAACUGCAUCCGAUACUGGGUGGCUUGAGUAUGGGAGAGGGAAGUGGAAUUCCAGGUGUAGAGGUGAAAUUCGUAGAUAUCUGGAGGAACACCAGUGGCGAAGGCGACUUCCUGGACCAAUACUGACGCUGAGGCGCGAAGGCGUGGGGAGCAAACA